UGAGGAUGUAGCUCAGUUGGUAGAGUGCUUGCCUAGUAUGCACGAGGACCUGGGUUCAAUCUCCAGCACCCCAU